UUAGUUAUACUAAUUUAUAUGCAGGGUUCAUUGAAUGAGAUUCUCCUUGAAGACCCAAAAUCUAGAACUACAGACAACGCUGAUGAGGAUGCCUUGACAAAAAUUUUUGCAAGAUCUCCAAGUUAGAAGAAGAGCAACAUAAUAUGAAGCUCAAAAUGACUGAAAUGAUGAAUCUACUUAAAGAACACUUGGUUGGUGGUAAAGUGACACCAAGCGAAGGACAGUCUCGCAAUGUACCGCAGUCAAACAAUAUUCAGUCCCCUAAGAGUAUUGCACUAGAAAAAAGACAUAACUUUACAGAAGGGAAGAAUGCUUGCUACUUGCUUAACUGGGCAGAUGUAAUUUUUGCUGAAGGUCGUUGGGAUUCUAGUGAUCCAUAGAUAACUGUGCAUGGAAAGCCUCUUGGA